rnacentral:lncRNA from 1 species
UAGUUAGAAAAUUAGCACUAUAUUGCAACAAAAUACCUACAAAAUUCCGUCAAUAAUUACCAACACAAUAGAAACUACAUCUUUGUAGUUAAAUAACAAAUAAAUACAUGUUUUACUCUAAUUACUGGAAAUAAAUUAAUCAAUCAUAUUACUGUUAGUAAAUCCUUCAAAGUUACAAGUUAUCUGGUUAGGAUGACAAAUUAAAAAGUUAAUAAGUUAAUAUUACAUAAGUAGAUAGUCGCAUUGAGCUCCAUGUCAAACUACUGUACAAAACAAAUGUUAAAGACAUUCCAAAAGUUGCUGUCAUCCUUUCAUGUCAUCCGGUCAUCCAGUCAUACGCCAAAAUAUUAACCUAACAAAAUUUAGACAAUCAACAAAUUAGUAAAUGCCCCAACAUGCACUGAGUUUUUGUUUUAGCAUUAAAACAUGUAAUGGCCCUGAUUUUGUUUUCCUAAAGUUAGCCAAGAACUAAUUUACCUUAAAGCAAGCUACUGAUUGUGACACUCCAACAUCUUCGCUAGUUGGUUCUCCAUCUCCCUCAUCCGCUGCUUCACUUCAUCCAUCUCUUUAAGUUGUUCCUUCAUUUGGCUCAUAAAAGAUAUUCUGGGAAGAACCUAAGCCAUAUAUCCUAUUACGCUUGUCAAGUCCACCAACUGCUUCAUAAUAUGCCUUAUUUUGAACAAAAAUAUCGAGUUGAGCAGAGACAUUCAAGUUAUAAAAUGUUCUACCAUUUAAGUCUUAAAAAUUCCAAGUAUUCCACUGGUUACAAAGUACUCCACUGGUUACAAAUUACUGCUUUGUAAUUAACUCCUAAACUAACAUUUAGCUUCCGAGUAGUCAAAGAUGAAAUUAGAUACAAAAUGAAAUUGUUUGUCACUGACAAUGUUUUAACAAAAACACUUAAACUUUAAAUUCUACUAGUUGCACAGUCUUAUAUAUAGCAAAAAUUGGUAUUCAAAUUAUACAGGCACAAACAUAUAGUAAAUACAAUGUGAACAUUAAAUAAUCAUACUUCUGACUUGCCACUUGCCACCAUAUAAUUUACACAGAAAAUAAAAAAAACACCUAAAUGAAUACACAGAAGAUAUAUUUCACCUAAAAAGAAUAGAGAUGUAAAAAUAUGAAAAAAGAACAAAUCAUAGUUCAUACACUUAAAUGAUUAAUUUAAGUAAAAUGUGUGUGUUGAGCAGUUGUAGCAUUCUAAGUUUUAAAAAUUCCAAGUAAUCAACAAAAAUUCUGCUAUUAAUUCUCAGAAACUCAGUACACUAUUUAGCAAAAAAAAAAACUCAAUACACUUACAGCAAAAGCUGCACUUUUCUU